rnacentral:rRNA from 1 species
GGACCUGCACAACCAGCGGAGCAUGUGGUUCAAUUCGAGACGAACCGAAGAACCUUACCCGGGUUUGACAUGCUAUCGUUUUAGUUUUCCAGAAACGGAGAAUGAUCUUUAAGAAAUUAAAGAAGAUAGCACAGGUGUUGCAUGGCUGUCGUCAGCUCGUGCCGUGGGGUGUUCCCUUCAGUGGGGUAACGAGCGCAACCCCUUUCCUAUGUUGAAUAUUCAUAGGAUACUAUUCUCGCUAGUCGAGAGAGGAAGCGGGGACGACGUCAAGUCAGCAUGGCCCUUAUGUCCGGGGCGACACACAUACUACAAUGGAGCCGACAAACCGUUGCCAAGCCGCAAGGUGGAGCUAAUCGGAAAAACGGCUUCUCAGUGGGGAUUGCGGGCUGCAACUCGCCCGCAUGAACGUGGAGUUGGUAGUAAUCGCAGAUCAGCCAAGCUGCGGUGAAUACGUUCUCAGGUCUU